CCUACGGGGGGCAGCAGUGGGGAAUAUUGCGCAAUGGGCGAAAGCCUGACGCAGCGACGCCGCGUGGGUGAUGAAGGCCUUCGGGUUGUAAAGCCCUGUCGGGUGGAACGAACGUUCUGGCGGCGAAUAACCGCCGGGUGUGACGGUACCACCGAAGGAAGCCCCGGCUAACUACGUGCCAGCAGCCGCGGUAAGACGUAGGGGGCGACGGUUGUUCGGAUUUACUGGGGGUGCAGGGCGCGUAGGUGGCGAAAUCCCUCGGCUUAACCGAGGGCCCGCAUCCGGUACUGUCUGGCUCGAGUCUAGGAGAGGAAAGCGGAAUUCCCAGUGUAGCGGUGAAAUGCGUAGAUAUUGGGAGGAACACCGGUGGCGAAGGCGGCUUUCCGGACUAGUACUGACGCUGAGGCGCGAAAGCUAGGGGAGCGAACGGGAUUAGAUACCCGGGUAGUC
rnacentral:rRNA from 1 species